rnacentral:rRNA from 1 species
UACGUAGGGUGCGAGCGUUAAUCGGAAUUACUGGGCGUAAAGCGUGCGCAGGCGGUUUUGUAAGCCAGAUGUGAAAUCCCCGGGCUUAACCUGGGAAUGGCAUUUGGGACUGCAAGGCUGGAGUGUGGCAGAGGAGACUGGAAUUCCUGGUGUAGCAGUGAAAUGCGUAGAUAUCUGGAGGAAUACCGGUGGCGAAGGCGGCAUCCUGGACCGACAUUGACGCCGAUGAGCGAAAGCUAGGGGAGCAAACGGG